rnacentral:rRNA from 1 species
CUCGUAGGCGGUUCGUCGCGUCCGGUGUGAAAGUCCAUCGCUUAACGGUGGAUCCGCGCCGGGUACGGGCGGGCUUGAGUGCGGUAGGGGAGACUGGAAUUCCCGGUGUAACGGUGGAAUGUGUAGAUAUCGGGAAGAACACCAAUGGCGAAGGCAGGUCUCUGGGCCGUCACUGACGCUGAGGAGCGAAAGCGUGGGGGAGCGAACA